CCUACGGGAGGCAGCAGUAGGGAAUCUUCCACAAUGGACGAAAGUCUGACGGAGCAACGCCGCGUGAGUGAUGAAGGCUUUCGGGUCGUAAAACUCUGUUGUUAGGGAAGAACAAGUACAAGAGUAACUGCUUGUACCUUGACGGUACCUAACCAGAAAGCCACGGCUGACUACGUGCCAGCAGCCGCGGUAAUACGUAGGUGGCAAGCGUUAUCCGGAAUUAUUGGGCGUAAAGCGCGCGCAGGCGGUUUCUUAAGUCUGAUGUGAAAGCCCACGGCUCAACCGUGGAGGGUCAUUGGAAACUGGGGAACUUGAGUGCAGAAGAGAAAAGCGGAAUUCCACGUGUAGCGGUGAAAUGCGUAGAGAUGUGGAGGAACACCAGUGGCGAAGGCGGCUUUUUGGUCUGUAACUGACGCUGAGGCGCGAAAGCGUGGGGAGCAAACAGGAUUAGAUACCCUGGUAGUCCACGCCGUAAACGAUGAGUGCUAAGUGUUAGAGGGUUUCCGCCCUUUAGUGCUGCAGCUAACGCAUUAAGCACUCCGCCUGGGGAGUACGGUCGCAAGACUGAAACUCAAAUGAAUUGACGGGG
rnacentral:rRNA from 1 species